ensembl:snoRNA Gm26077 predicted gene, 26077
UCCACUCCUAGAGGCAUUGCUACUGUGUCAUGUGUGUGUCAGUAGGUAGCAGAGAAGAGAGAGGCUAUGUCUACAAUCAUUGUUCUGACCUACGAACAUCUGAAUGAUUAGUAGCCUAACAUU